CCUACGGGAGGCAGCAGUGGGGAAUAUUGCGCAAUGGGCGAAAGCCUGACGCAGCGACGCCGCGUGAGGGAUGAAGGUCUUCGGAGCGUAAAGCUCUGUCAGCAGGGAAGAAGGGUCACAGGGGUAAACAGCAGUGAAUUGACGGUACCUGCAAAGGAAGCACCGGCUAACUCCGUGCCAGCAGCCGCGGUAAUACGGAGGGUGCGAGCGUUAAUCGGAAUUACUGGGCGGAAAGCGCACGUAGGCGGUGUGUCAAGUCAAGGGUGAAAGCCCCGCGCUCAACGUGGGAACUGCCUUUGAUACUGGCAACCUGGAGUGUGUGAGAGGCUAGUGGAAUUCCACGUGUA
rnacentral:rRNA from 1 species